rnacentral:sRNA from 1 species
CUGGAGGAGACAGGCUAUGACACAUACGUCCACGAUGCUUAUGGCCUGUUCCAGGAGUGCAGCUCCCGCGUCGCCUCCUGGGGCUGGCCUCUGACCCCCACACCUUUGGACCCCCAUGAGCCCGAGCGACCUUUCUUCGAGGGCCACUUCCUCCGAGUGCUGUUUGACCGCAUGUCCCGGAUUCUGGAUCAGGUAGCUAGUGGGCCUGGGCCAGGAGAACUCCAGGCUGGUGCCUCUGGGGUCCUUCAAGAGCAGAGGUUGGCCACAGGGUUGCCUCUGCUUCGGUUCUUUGGUGCCACCCCUGUCCUUUCCCCAGGUGGGAAGCCCCGUCUCACCCCUGCUCCACACGUCCUAACACGUUCUGGCCCUCAGCCCCAUGGAAUCCAUGACACACACACACAUCACGUGAGCCUCCCACCCCCACACACGUUCACAGUGGCCAGGCACCUUGCUGGGGGAGUGCAAAAAUGCUCACCAGCCCUGCCAGCCCUCGGCUCUGUCCACCAUGUUCCUACAGCCAUACAGCCUGAACCUGCAGGUGACCUCGGUCCUGUCCCGGCUUGCCCUCUUCCCCCACCCCCAUAUUCAUGAGUACCUGCUGGAUCCGUACAUCAGCCUGGCCCCCGGCUGCAGGAGCCUAUUCUCCGUGUUGGUGAGGGUGAUCGGGGACUUGAUGCAGAGAAUCCAGAGGGUACCCCAGUUCCCAGGCAAGCUGCUCCUGGUGCGCAAGCAGUUGACGGGCCAGGCUCCUGGGGAGCAGCUGGACCACCAGACCCUCCUCCAGGGCGUGGUGGUGCUGGAGGAGUUCUGCAAGGAGCUGGCUGCCAUUGCCUUCGUCAAGUUUCCCCCACAUGAUCCUCGCCAGAACGUCUCCCCAGCCCCGGAAGGGCAGGUCUGAGCCAGGACCAGGGCGGUGGGAGACUCCUGUCCACACCUCUGCCCCAGAGCUGCCUCCUGCCUGGCACUGCCGCCACACUCCCCUCCUGGGAUGGGGCUUCUGCUCCCGGGCUCACUCAAGGAGACUGCGGCAUGUUGACCACACCAGACUGGGUUUCAGGGAAUGGGCAUGCCAGGUGCCAAGGAGCCAAACAGAUGGCUUUCCAGGCAGCAAGGUCCUUGGGGCCUUCUUGGAGGAGCUUGGGUGACAGCCAGGUGAGCACCCAGACCCCAGACCCUCAUGUGCUGUGUGCCUGGCCCCUUCUGUACUGGCCAUUUGUGGCCAGGGCCAAGCCUGUGACUCAACUCCAGGGUCAAGAUGGGGAGUGAGCUGAUGGCUCCGAGACUGGUCAGGAGCCCAGGCCAGUGAGAUGGGGCCUGGAGCCUUGUCUGUGUCACAUUAGGUACCAUGGGAGCUGCUGAGACCUGACAUUUUGUCCCCUGCCUACAUGGCUUGGCCCAUGGAGAAGGAGCAGUGAAUGGGAUCGUCGGGGAAGCCCCUCUUCCUGCUCUGCUCCCCUGGAAACUGUUGCAAAACUCCCAGCCGCCUCAUGGCAAAUGCCCAAAGCAUGUUCCGCACCCAGGCGGGGGCCGCUGCUAAUGAGAACCUUGGUGCAGCUGCAGCCAGGAGGGGAGCGGGCCCAGGAGCCAGGCUCAGGUCCAGGUGGUUCCUCUCUGGCGCCUUCUGAACCCGUCUCAGCAGGUCCACGGCACCUGGGCAGAGGUCAGAGACCAGGGGAGGCCGGGCCUUGCCCUCCCUUCUGCCCAGGGCCCAGUGUUCUUGAUAGAAGACCCUUCUGGGGAGCCAGGGAGGUCAGGGGACAGAUAAGGGCAGGACGCCCCCUGACUCCAGGCCCCUGAGCCUGGCGGGAAGUGGCUGCGGCCCAGGCAGCCAUUCCUGGUGGUGUUCUCCCUGCAUGCCCUCCGUGGCUGGGCUGCCACCCCACCCGGCCCGAAUCUGUCUUGACCUGCAGGAAUACACGGGCGGCGCCAGGCAUUACCUCACAGCGGGACUACACAGUUGCUGGCUUUGCUCCUGGGCAAGGAGGAGCAGGCCAGAGCCUCUUUUGCUUCCUUUUCUUGCCCAUGCCGCUUCUAGAAGCCAGGCACAGGUUGCCAAGAGGUGACACGAAACAGGAGGAAACUCAGUGACCUCUGCCUCUCCCACAUUCCUCCCCGCGGGGGAGGACCUCGCCACUCUGAAGAGCACCGUGCACAUGUGGGUGCACAAACGUGGGUGUUGGUGUGGACGGGGCGCAGAUCUCUGUGGAUGAACUGCGUCUGGACUCUUAAGAUUCAUAAAAUAUUCGAGGGUUUGGGAGUCACAGACCCUCCCCUGUCCUCAGUGCACUUUGGCGUUUGCACGGUGUCUUCCCCGGACAGCACAGCAAUAAAUGGUGUGAUUGCGUGG